rnacentral:lncRNA from 1 species
GUGACACUUUCGGAGGCUGGAGAGACAGGUUACGAAUGCACCAGCAGGCAGCUGGGGUGUGCUUCUUCAUCUACGAGCAGAAUUGGUUGCGUGCAGGUGUAACGCUGGAGACAGGCACAGCAAGGAGAGGAAUGACCCCCUGCCCUGCAAGCCAGCGGUUAUCGGGGCAAAUUUAGUGCUGUGCAUCCUUCUCAGCACCAGUGUUUAGGGAUCUGCCACCUGGUAACACAAAAUACCCCGGAGAAAGGAGCGUGGACGUGCACCAGGACGUUGUCAUUGCAGUUAACUGCGGGGCUUGGGACCUGGUCUCCAUUCACAGGAGAAUUUUUGCUGCCAGGGAACCGCAGAUCUGCUGGCUAAAGCUGCGGAUUAGGCUAAUAGGAGCUUAAUGGGAAGUCAGGGGGGGAAAAGGAGCAGGAGGGCUGGGAAAUUAGAUCGUGCUCCCCAAGGCUUUGGUGCCAGGCUGGGCCCUGCAGAGCCAGCUCAGUGAUGUGAGGCCGUGUGCUUGCCAGGGUGCCAAGGGAUGGAUUUGGUCCCAGACCAAAGCAGUGCUGCUGGGGCUGGGGGGAGGAGAACGGCGAGGAGAGGAUGGAGAUGGGGCAGGGAUGACAGUUUGCACUGCUUCGCUGUCUCGGUUUGGGCUGUGAUGAGGCAAAACGUGACGGCUGGGGGCCUGUGCAGGAAGGCAGCAGCCCCGCUGCUCGCUGAGUUCGGUGCCAGGCCUGGCGCUACUCGCUGGGCCGUGCGUGUCUCACCCAUGGUGUUCUGCUCUCGUUUUGCCUUGGGAAACAGCAAUUCUAGCUACAGCUUCAUACGUGCUCCAGCCUCGAUCACUAUGGUUACUGGUGCUCCACCAGUGCUCCCGUGGACACCAGUCCUCCAUCACAUCAAGCUCUGCAUCCAAAGAGUCACAAAUGGCCAGCACAGACAAGGAUUGCAGGGCACGGAAUAUUAUCCUCAAACAAGGGUCUCAUCUGGAGAGCUCCAGGCACGCUGGCGAUGGGCAGGAGACGCGAUCUUACCCGCUUCUGCAUUCCGGACAAGCGGCGCCAACGUUUCAAGUGAGAAGCUGGCAUGACUCCAGCAACCAAAAAACCAAACCCGUGAAACGCAGAAGUGCGGUGCCCAAGGUCUGCAAAGUGCUUUGUCCUUGUGCUUCACGGAAGGGGUCACCCCAGACAGAGCUCUCCUCCUGCCCCACCACAAGCUGAUGGAGCCACUGCUCCACGGAGCCCUCCAGCCAUAAUAUCAGACAGCUGGGACCUGCUACGGACCUCCAGGGUGUUGAUACAGG